ACUAGAAUGGCUGAGCAGUUAAGGUGUUGGUCUUAGGUUCCAACUGAUGAAGUGUUUGUGUGAGUUCAAUUUCCCACUUCCGGUG
rnacentral:tRNA from 1 species